AUUGAACGCUGGCGGCAUGCCUUACACAUGCAAGUCGAACGGCAGCGGACCUUCGGGUGCCGGCGAGUGGCGAACGGGUGAGUAAUGUAUCGGAACGUACCUUUCAGGGGGGGAUAACGUAGCGAAAGUUACACUAAUACCGCAUAUUCUGUGAGCAGGAAAGCAGGGGAUCGCAAGACCUUGCGCUGAUUGAGCGGCCGAUAUCAGAUUAGCUAGUUGGUGAGGUAAAGGCUCACCAAGGCGACGAUCUGUAGCGGGUCUGAGAGGAUGAUCCGCCAAACUGGAACAGAGACACGGUCCAGACUCCUACGGGAGGCAGCAGUGGGGAAUUUUGGACAAUGGGGGCAACCCUGAUCCAGCCAGGCCGCGUGAGUGAAGAAGGCCUUCGGGUUGUAAAGCUCUUUCGUCCGGGAAGAAAUCGCAUCAGCUAAUACCUGGUGUGGAUGACGGUACCGGAAUAAGAAGCACCGGCUAACCACGUGCCAGCCGCCGCGGUAAUAC
rnacentral:rRNA from 1 species